UUGCAUCAUGAUUUACAUUUGAGUGAGUGGCGAACUGGUGAGUAACACGUGGGAAACCUGCCCAGAAGCGGGGGAUAACACCUGGAAACAGAUGCUAAUACCGCAUAACAACUUGGACCGCAUGGUCCGAGCUUGAAAGAUGGCUUCGGCUACCACUUUUGGAUGGUCCCGCGGCGUAUUAGCUAGAUGGUGGGGUAACGGCUCACCAUGGCAAUGAUACGUAGCCGACCUGAGAGGGUAAUCGGCCACAUUGGGACUGAGACACGGCCCAAACUCCUACGGGAGGCAGCAGUAGGGAAUCUUCCACAAUGGACGAAAGUCUGAUGGAGCAACGCCGCGUGAGUGAAGAAGGGUUUCGGCUUGUAAAACUCUGUUGUCAAAGAAGAACAUAUCUGAGAGCAACUGUUCAGGUAUUGACGGUAUUUAACCAGAAAGCCACGGCUAACUACGUGCCAGCAGCCGCGGUAAUACGUAGGUGGCAAGCGUUGUCCGGAUUUAUUGGGCGUAAAGCGAGCGCAGGCGGUUUUUUAAGUCUGAUGUGAAAGCCUUCGGCUCAACCGAAGAAGUGCAUCGGAAACUGGGAAACUUGAGUGCAGAAGAGGACAGUGGAACUCCAUGUGUAGCGGUGAAAUGCGUAGAUAUAUGGAAGAACACCAGUGGCGAAGGCGGCUGUCUGGUCUGUAACUGACGCAGAGGCUCGAAAGUAUGGGUAGCAAACAGGAUUAGAUACCCUGGUAGUCCAUACCCGUAAACGAUGAAUGCUAAGUGUUGGAGGG
rnacentral:rRNA from 1 species